rnacentral:rRNA from 1 species
GACGAACGCUGGCGGCGUGCCUAACACAUGCAAGUCAACUUGACUGAAGGAGCAAUCUGACAGUAGAGUGGCGCAAGGGUGCGCAACGCGUAAGUAACUUGCCCCAAGGUAAGGAAUAACGUCGAGAAAUCGGCGCUAAUACCUCAUAAUGCAGCGGAUCCGCAUGGAUAUGUUGUUAAAGGUUUACCGCCUUGGGAUAGGCUUGCGUCUGAUUAGCUAGUUGGUGUGGUAACGGCACACCAAGGCUACGAUCAGUAACUGGUCUGAGAGGAUGAUCAGUCACACUGGAACUGAGACACGGUCCAGACUCCUACGGGAGGCAGCAGUGAGGAAUAUUGGGCAAAUGCUCGAAAGAAGUGACCCAGCAACGCCGCGUGGAGGAUGAAGGUAUUCUAUAUCGUAAACUCCUGUGAGAGCAGACGAAAGACAGAUUAUUAAUCUGGAUGACUGUAUGCUCAGAGGAAG